rnacentral:rRNA from 1 species
ACUAAAUAGAUACCCGGGUAGUCCACGCCGUAAACGUUGGGCGCUAGGUGUGGGGCUCUUUCCACGAGUUCCGUGCCGCAGCAAAAACGCAUUAAGCGCCCCGCCUGGGGAGUACGGCCGCAAGGCUAAAACUCAAAGGAAUUGACGGGGGCCCGCACAAGCGGCGGAGCAUGCGGAUUAAUUCGAUGCAACGCGAAGAACCUUACCAAGGCUUGACAUACGCAGAAAACCGGCAGAGAUGUCGGGUCCGUAAGGGCUGUGUACAGGUGGUGCAUGGUUGUCGUCAGCUCGUGUCGUGAGAUGUUGGGUUAAGUCCCGCAACGAGCGCAACCCUCGUUCCAUGUUGCCAGCACGUAAUGGUGGGGACUCAUGGGAGACUGCCGGGGUCAACUCGGAGGAAGGUGGGGAUGACGUCAAAUCAUCAUGCCCCUUAUGUCUUGGGCUUCACGCAUGCUACAAUGGCCAGUACAAAGGGCUGCGAGACCGUAAGGUGAGCGAAUCCCAAAAAGCUGGUCUCAGUUCGGAUCGGGGUCUGCAACU